rnacentral:rRNA from 1 species
GGCAAACGGGUGAGUAACACGUGGGUGACCUGCCUUCGAGUGGGGGAUAACGUCCCGAAAGGGACGCUAAUACCGCAUGACAYCCUGYCUUUGGACAGRCGGAGAUCAAAGCUGGGGAUCGCAAGACCUGGCGCUUGAAGAGGGGCCCGCGCCUGAUUAGCUAGUUGGUGAGGUAAYGGCUCACCAAGGCKACGAUCAGUAUCCGGCCUGAGAGGGCGGACGGACACACUGGGACUGAGACACGGCCCAGACUCCUACGGGAGGCAGCAGUGGGGAAUUGUUCGCAAUGGGCGCAAGCCUGACGACGCAACGCCGCGUGGAGGAUGAAGAUYUUCGGRUCGUAAACUCCUGUCGAGCGGGAAGAAUAGUUUCAGCGURAAUACCGCUGGARSCUGACGGUACCGCUAAAGGAAGCCCCGGCUAACUCCGUGCCAGCAGCCGCGGUAAUACGGGGGGGGCAAGCGUUGUUCGGAAUUACUGGGCGUAAAGGGCUCGUAGGYGGCCAACUUAAGUCAGACGUGAAAUCCCCAGGCUYAACCUGGGAACUGCGUCUGAUACUGGAUGGCUUGAAUUCGGGAGAGGGAUGCAGAAUUCCAGGUGUAGCGGUGAAAUGCGUAGAUAUCUGGAGGAAUA